rnacentral:sRNA from 1 species
UUGACAGUACAGGAGACUGAAGUCCUCUGUAUAUCCGCAGGCCAGGCAUUGUACAGACAGCUUCCUUGCACAGCCUUACCCAUGAGCACAACCCUGGCCUGGAAGGGACCACCCUCUCUAGAGGUGGUAAGUAAUUUUUAUCCUAGCUCAGUCCUGGCUUCA